rnacentral:misc_RNA from 1 species
AAUUUUGGAGAAUUCCGCCGACUUUAUCGGUAAAUGAGAUUCUGAAUGUACAUUAGAUGAUCCAACAUUCAGUUUUCAAGGUCCUUGAGAUCAUUUGAAAGGAUAGUUUCAUCCACAUCUGGUUCAAUUUUUGUUUCUCUCUUUGAAGGCCUUUUUCUGAUAUGAUAUGAAGCAGAAAAAACUAGUGUAUAAAGUAUUCAUACUAAAAUUGCUUUAGGAUAUGGA